rnacentral:sRNA from 1 species
AUUUCGAAUUAAAUAUUUGACAUUUAACAAUUUUCCUAAAAUCUCUCUACAUUAACUACACGAUUGGUUACUAAAAUAAAACUUUCAAAAUAUUUAAUAUCAUUUAAUUACUACAAAAUUAUCAUUAUUGAUAUUGUUUUUCUGCAUGACUAUUACAAUUCAAUUAUAAUCAUCAAACCGCAGAGAUAUUUGAUAGCAUUUAAUUACUAUAAAAUUACAAAAUAUUUAGACAAUGAUUCAUAAACAUAUGAUAAAUAAGAUCAACAUUAAUAAAAUAAAUGAGUUUUUUUUAUGGGACGGGUUGGCGGGAUGGGUUUGGCAGGACGUUACUUAAUAACAAUUCUAAACUAUAAAAUAAAAAUAUUUUAUAGAUAGUUACAUAAAUUGUUACAAAUUGUAAACUUUUAUAUAUACUAAUUUUAAAAUAUAAAUUGUUCUCGCGGUAUACCGCGGGUGAAAAUCUAGUUUAUUACAAUUUAAGAAACGAUAUUUUAUGGUACAGAUGUAAUUUACUAAGAUAUGCUUCUUCUUCUUUCUGCCAAGAACUAUGAUUUGUAC